UACGUAGGGUGCAGGCGUUAAUCGGAAUUACUGGGCGUAAAGCGUGCGUAGGCGGUUCGUUAAGUCUGUUGUGAAAGCCCCGGGCUCAACCUGGGAAUGGCAAUGGAUACUGGCGAGCUAGAGUGUGUCAGAGGAUGGUGGAAUUCCCGGUGUAGCGGUGAAAUGCGUAGAGAUCGGGAGGAACAUCAGUGGCGAAGGCGGCCAUCUGGGACAACACUGACGCUGAGGCACGAAAGCGUGGGAGCAAACAGG
rnacentral:rRNA from 1 species